AGGCAUGGGGGCCACAGUCUGAACCGCAGGAAGAUUCUUGCUGGUGGCUCCAUUCGCAAAGCUGGAGGAAGAGGAAGUGGAUGCAUCUGUGGCUCCUGUGACACAACAAGAAAAAUCCACCAAUGGUGUAACUCGCCGUGAAGUUUUUCACUUUACAUCCUCGCCAGCUGUCAUCUAAACCUUCAGUCGCACUAAAAUCAAACACCCUUUCUGGUUUUUCAUCAGCCAGUGUCCACAGCGCCCUGUGCAGCAGGGAGCUUCUGAUAGAUACAUCACAGCAAUGGACUGUCAUCCUGUGAAACCACGGGCUGUCACGGGACAUCUGAGAAUGGGAAAUCUAUUACGCAGCCAUCAAUCGCCGUGUCAGAGAUGAGUGUCCACCCAUAAGCAAAUACACCGAGAUGAGGGGAAACGUCAAGAGGGACAUUCUGAUGGAUUCUGCUGGAAGCACAGCUCAGCAGAUCUCAAUGAGGUUUAUGAUGGACAAAGG